rnacentral:rRNA from 1 species
UACGUAGGGGGCAAGCGUUGUCCGGAUUUAUUGGGCGUAAAGAGCGCGCAGGCGGUCGUAUAAGUCGAAUGUGAAAGCCCCUGGCUCAACUAGGGAGAGUCAUUCGAUACUGUUCGACUCGAAGGCAGGAGAGGUUGGUAGAAUUCUCGGUGUAGAGGUGAAAUUCGUAGAUAUCGAGAGGAAUACCUGUGGCGAAGGCGGCCAACUGGACGAGUACUGACACUGAGACACGAAAGCGUGGGGAGCAAACAGG